GCCAGCGGCGAAGAAAGCGAUGAAAAGCAAAGCUUCUCCUCCAAAAACAAAUUCUCUUCCCGCAAUUCUUCUUCCAAGUACGAUUUCGUUAAGGUGAAGGUGUGGUUGGGUGAUAAUGCGGAUCACUACUAUGUUCUGUCUAGAUUUUCGCUCAGUAGGUGCGGUUGGAUGAUAAUGCUGCAAUGUGGAUUCGAUUUGGAAAAUGGCCAGUGCUGGUUUAUCUGGAACUCUUUUGUCAGGAAUUGGAAAUUUGAGCCAUCUCCGAACAUUGUUACUACAGAACAAUCAGUUAUCUGGUCCUAUCGCGGCUGAGAUAGGCAAGUUGUCAGAGCUUCAAACUCUAGACCUUUCCAGUAACCAGUUUGUUGGAGGAAUUCCUAGUUCUUUGGGCUUAUUGUCUCAACUAAGUUACUUCUUUUCAGGUGGCUCAGCAAAAAUAAUCUAUCUGGACAGAUCCCUCCACUUGUUACUAACUUGACAGGGACUUGUCAUUUAAUAAUCUCAGUGGUCCCACUCCAAAAAUUUUGGCAAAAGGUUACAUUAUUUCAGGAAAUAACUUCCUUUGUACAUCUCCUUCUGAACAUUGUAUGGACAUUUCAAAACCACUAAACGAAUUUCAGGUUUUUAUGAUGGCUGAGUCAGGGGUGAAAAAAUUCAGCCUAAACAUUAAGAAGACUGGAAAAGGUGUGCUCCCUAAAAAUGAAAAAGGUCCAUAUUACUAAUGCUAAAAUAUGGAAUGCAUAGGAUCUAAGUAUCAAGGAACUGGCUGAAUAGAUCAGCUUGAGAAGGGAAUGGUACGCAUAAAAGAAGAUCUAUCUUUGAAGCAUAUUUUAGAUGAGAUAGAGACGGGUGGUCCUACUGCUAUGAUGAGGUUUGGAUGGCAAAAUUUCUUAUCUUUUUGGCCAUUUCAAAAUUUCUAUCAGUUCAAUGUUUUCCAAAUUUUAAAUAGUUUCUAAAGUGUUUCAGGUUGUUUGUGCAAUUUGUAACACUGAGCAGCCGGUAAGUAUUUUCUUCCAACUUAUUUCUUGGAGAUGGACU